rnacentral:lncRNA from 1 species
UUAUUAGUCUCCUCCACUUCCUUAUUUAGAUAAGGACCUCUUAUUUCAUGGUAAGUGGGAGGGUUCAUUCCAGGUCCGUAUUGACCAACAAGCUCAAUAAAGUCUCCAAAUGUGUCAUAGUUGACACAAUUGAAGGGGAGCCCAGCAUCAUAGACCCAUCGUGCAAAAGCUCUAACUGCACAGUCCCUUAAAAUGUCUCUAGCAACUUUUUGUAUAUCUUUUCCACCGUCUUUUGUUCCCUUUGC